rnacentral:lncRNA from 1 species
GACGGCGUGGAGGGCUGGAUCUCUCUCUGGGGGAGGGCGGGAAAAAAAAUUGGGUUUUAGGUUUUAAUUUAAAAAUGAAUAAAUAAAUGAAGCUGACCUGAAAAGUAACGCCGGGGAUUUUGGGGGGCAGCAAACAGUUUUCCUAAGCAAGAGGCAGAGGCGCUGAAGCGGAGGGCUCGGAGGGGCAGGUUACCACAGAGGUUUGGGAGGGGGAUGUUUGGCCAGGGCAAGGAGGGGAGCAGGGGAGCGGGGGCACCCCCAGCCCCCCGUGCCUGCUCUCCUGAAACCCUGUCCCGAUUCCUUUCCAGGGUACGCCGCCUGGCCGGGCCGCCGGCUGCCCUGCAGCUGGGCCGAGCAGCGCGCUUCUCUCCGGACGUAACAUGCCAGGUUCUCCUCCGCCAAGUGACGCACAGGUCGGGCCCCGGCUCAGUUUUUGCAGAGCGGAGACGCUGCGUGGGAUUAUCCCCUCCGCCCCCUAAAAUAGCGAUCUUUCAGACCCGUUAGCACACUCUAAAGGAGAAAAAUCCAGAGCUGCUGGUCCUUGCUUCACCAAGAGGAACUGUUGUUGAAUGUUAGGAAACAAAAUCUAUGGAUCUGUGGAUCUGUCCCUUAGAGAUAACUACAGCUGCAAGAACUGCACUUCUGAAAGCAGCUUACAUCUGAAUGUCCAAACCAUGACCUUACCCAAAGAUCCAAGAGUGGCAGAUUUUGCAGAGCAAGGAGCAAUGGAUUCCUCUUUCCGUGUUGGCUUUGGCUGGAGGUUUUACACAAUUCCACAUCUGCAGCCUGAACCAUCGCUGCCUCUGUGCUGGCACUCCUGGGACUGCUGUGGAAUACAAGUCACUGGCAGGUGUGAAAUACAGCCCUUCAUUUUGGGGUCUGAAGGAUGGACUCAGUAUUUUAUGAUGUCUUGGGCCUGAGAGUGGGCUAUAAGAUCUGCUGAUGUUCCUGCUUGUCAUAUUUUCUAUUUUUUGUGCAUGCUUUCUUUGUAUCUUGUUUCUCCUCCCACAAGGACUCUGAAAACCUUUUUGUCUUUUUCUUUUGAAUAUUCCUAUAAAGGUGGGGAGCCAUUUUGGAGUCCUUUUGUUUUCUACCCAUAACUUUUUUCCCUUGAGCUUCUUAGUGUCAGGAAAGGUACUAUGACAAUCUGUACCUGUCACUAAGGCAUAGUCACGUUUUUCUUUUAUUUGAUUUCUGCUAUAUCAUUUUUGGGAUGAGAUCACAAACCUGCAUAUACUGUUGAAAGGGAGGAUGCACCAGUGGUUUAGAUAUUAGCAUUAUAAAUUCAAUAAUAUUACAAAUUUCCUUCUUAUUACAUCUUAAUGUCUUAUCAUGAUUUUUAUAUACUGGCUGCACAUUGAACAAAUGUCUCUAUUCAGUUCUUCUUGAUGACUCCUUGAUUUUCUUUUCCCUGAGAUCUUAUAACUAAUUCAGAAGUUAUCAGUGCAUAGGAGGAGUUUAAAUUGUUCUUUCCAAUGUGCACUACCUUGCAAUGUUCUACAUUCAGUUUAAUCUGGUCAUCAUGUCAUCCAGUUGCUUUGUUAUAAUAGGUCCUUGUGGAGCUCUUCAGAACUGUUUAUCCUGUUGCCUUUUCUGUCAACAUAAUAACACAGAACACUUUAACAGGAGUUAGGAGAUCAAUAUGUUACCCUAAUGGAAAAGUUUUAUUCAAGCUAAUAGAAAUACAAACAGUAGGCCUCCACAUAAAUUAUUAUUAAAAACACGUUUCUGUUUUUAAAAAUGAUGUUUUUGUUCUGGGUUUUUAAAUUAUGCCUAACAUAACCAUUUAUUUUGGAUGAAAUGUAGUUGACAGUUCAAAAGAAUAAGAUACCAUGGAAAGUUUAUGUUUUCCUGUGGCAUUGUAUAGGUCUCUUCCAUAAGACUAUAGUCACAAUCAACAUUAAAAUAUAUUAAUCAGUUUGAAUAACAAAAUGUACCUUCCUUGAGAAAAUCAAGAAAAAAAGUUUGUAAAUUUUAGAAAGGCCCUAUUAAAGAGACCAAUAGAUUAAAAAGAACCCUUGAAGAUGACAGUAUUGAACGAUUCAUGGCUUGGCAGAUGUUCUCUUAAUCAUCAGUCAUGAACGGUAUAUGUGUACCCUUUUAUCUGAAAUAUCUUCACUACCGUAUCGGGUCCCUUAUUGCUCUAGGUUUUUGAUGGUUUUCUAGCUUUGGCUAGAAAUGUUGACUUUUAAAAUUUUGACUUACUUGCAUUUAUUGUCAAUGCUUCUGCUCUCACUAAGCUUUUAAUUAAUGAUACAACAAAUGUUCUGUUUUGAACCUCUGAAUAAAACUUUUUU